AAGCGCUUGAUGUCAGUCGCGUUGGCCGGGGAUCAACCUUGCUUCUCGCUGGGUGCACUUCCCGGUUCGACGGGUCAGCAUCAGUUUUGGUUGCCGUACAAUGGCGAUGGGGAACGUGGCACUCUUCGGAGUGUGUUAUAGCCCCUUGUCGUAUGCGAUGGUCAGAACUGAGGAACUCGGCACGGCUUCGGUCUGUGUCCAGGAUGCUGGCAUAAUGGCCUUAAGCGA
rnacentral:rRNA from 1 species